GACGAACGCUGGCGGCGUGCUUAACACAUGCAAGUCGAACGGAAAGGCCCUGCUUUUGUGGGGUGCUCGAGUGGCGAACGGGUGAUUAACACGUGAGUAACCUGCCCUUGACUUUGGGAUAACUUCAGGAAACUGGGGCUAAUACCGGAUAUGAGCUCCUGCUGCAUGGUGGGGGUUGGAAAGUUUCGGCGGUUGGGGAUGGACUCGCGGCUUAUCAGCUUGUUGGUGGGGUAGUGGCUUACCAAGGCCUUGACGGGUAGCCGGCCUGAGAGGGUGACCGGCAACAUUGGGACUGAGAGACGGCCCAGACUCCUACGGGAGGCAGCAGUGGGGAAUAUUGCACAGUGGGCGGAAGCGUGAUGCAGCAACGCCGCGUGCGGGAUGACGGCCUUCGGGUUGUAAACCGCUUUCGCCUGUGACGGAGCGUGAGUGACGGUAAUGGGUAAAGAAGCACCGGCUAACUACGUG
rnacentral:rRNA from 1 species